AAACACUUGAUGAUUCAUCAUAGAGUUUUACUUUUACAAAAAGUUCCACUGUAUAUUCCAGCAACUUGUGUCUGUAUUUAUUUAGUAUUGGAGUGUCAAAAUGACCAGACGAAAACCUGGAAAACGAUGGAGAAGGACUGGUAAUGAAGAAGACCCAAAUAAACGACCAAGAAGGACUGCACAAUUGUCAUCCCUCCCUGCAGCCACCAAUGUUCAUGUGGAGACUGAUCAGCAAUAUUUAGGUCACCGUGUGGCUGCAGUCUCAUGUUUGGUUUGCUGCUGUGGCAUUCUACUCAUUAUUGGCAUUGUCUGUCACUGUCAGCCUGUAUCAUAUAUGUCCUUCCAAACCCUGUCCAGCUACUCAUUCACCUGAGGUCCCACAACUUCUCAUUGUUAUGUGUGUGUUGUGUUGUGAUGAGUUACAUUCAACACUGUGGAUUACUGUUAUCACAAACACAGAAAGAGAUGUAAACAUAAACUGCUACAAUGUGAUCAAGAUGUGGGGAAAAAAGAAUAUGCAUCCCAUUAGCUGUAUUUGUAUAAUGUGU